rnacentral:tRNA from 1 species
GCAGGUAUGACUCAAGUGGUAGAGUAUCAACCUUAAGAAGAGAGUCAAGAGAAAAUGGAAGGACCUGAGUUCAAGCCCCAGUACUGGCA